rnacentral:misc_RNA from 1 species
AUCCUAAUAAAAAAUGUAAAUAUGUUGUGUAGAGAAAAAGCAAACACUCAAAACUUUACUCUUAAUUCACAAUACACACAAAUCAACUUUGUAUUCCCUACAAGUUAGAACUAAAGAAAUGACCGUAACACAAAGAUCUUGAAAUGGCAGAUGUCUUCAGAAAAUUGACGUUGAACUUCAAUCACACCCUGAAAGGAAUCGAUAUUGUGCGACUUUUUUAGCAUGAAAGGCUAUGGCCCUGAAGAAGAUAGAUCAGAGCCAGCAAAUUCCAAUUCUUAUCCAAUCCAAAUAUCCAGGCAGAAAAAGCAGGGAAUAUCUAGGAAUUCUGGCCCAAAACUGAGUCCCUGAUUAUAUCCUUUCACAGCUAGUUUAAAAGCAGCAAGCGUAUAAUUGAGGAGGGUGGUGGUCACAAAAUUGAAAGCAAUUGAAAGUAGUAGGAAAACCAUGCACAUGCCUCUGCCCUCUGCCCACCUGCACAUGCUGCCUGUCUCUUCUGCCCCCACACUAAUAGACCCACUUCAAUUUUUUUUCUUCUUCUCAAUGAUCAGCCAUCAAAAGUCUCAUUUCACACCAGUAACUCAAAAGGUUACCACUAAUUAAUGCCUGUAGUUAGAUAUUCAACUAACUAGAUAUGCUUCUUUUUGGUCACACUUACUAUAAUUUUGUUCUUUUGGGUUAA